AAUGGUCGACUCUCUGUGAGCUCUUCGCCUGUCUUCCGAAUCAAAGCAGGUAAGUUCAAUUUCUGCUGGUUUAAUCGCUAUUCUCAAGAAAAGAGAAGCCGAGUGCCAUCUCAUCCAUGUCUGUCGGCGCCCAAUAUUCUAUCUGCUAUCCUUCACCGUCGUUCCUCCCGGUUAGCUCCUCCAGGGCGGCGGAGCCGAAGCCCUGCCGCAGCUGUAGAAUCAUCUCCGCGACUGCCCAGGGGGGAGAAAGUCGCAGCAGAAGGCGCGUAUGGCGCCGCCGCAAGCUGGUAUGUGCCCACCUCCUAGGGCAUUGAUCGAUCUCUAUUUUCCUUUUUAAGCUUGAUAAUGAGGUUUUCAUGUUUGAUGUUGUAAAAUGUAUGUUGGGGAAACCGUUU